rnacentral:lncRNA from 1 species
GCGUUUGAGCCAUUGAACGAUGAACAGGAAAAACUUGACUUUAUUCUCCUGCCAUGGGGGGGCGCUCUUUUAACGAGAAAAAACUCCUUCACAAAUGUGUUGAUGGCUGGACAUUGCAUCAUCCUAGAAAACAUGGAGGCCAGUGAGGACAAAAAUAAAAUGUUAUAACACUUUUAAGAAUAUGGAUAUUUGGGUCAUCUUUGGCGCCCCCUAGAACUUAAACCGUGGGGUGCAGCGUCAUGAUUUUUACAACUUUGACUGACCAUGGGGUGUAGAUUGGCCUGAGCAAAUUUGGUGCCGGUGGAGCGAAAGCCUUAGGAGGAGUUAGCUACAUUCCAAUGUGUGCGAAUCGGCAAAAAAUGCGAAAUAGCCCUUUAACCGUACAUUUGACAGAUACGCCUGCAUUUACUUUUUCGUAGAUCUUAUUGAGAUACACGUGUGUGUCGAAUUUUGUGUCAUUUUGACAAAGCGUACAGGCAUGACCCUCAACAAUGUGUAUUUUCACCUUAGGGGACAAGAAAAAAUGGACUUUUUUCUCCUGCCAUGGGGGGGCGCUCUUUUGGGGAGUAAAAAUUCCUUCACAAAUGUGUUGAUGGCUGGACAUUGCAUCAUCCUAGAAAACUUGGAGGCCAGUGAGCACAAAAAUAAAAAGUUAUAAGACUUUUAAAAAUGUGGAUAUUUGGGUCAUCUUUGGCGCCCCCUAGAACGUAGACCGUGGGGUGCAGCGUCAUGAUUUUUACAACUUUGAAUGGCCAUGGGGUGUAGAUUGGCCUGAGCAAAUUUGGUGUCAGUGGGACGAAAGCCUUAGGAGGACUAAGCCACAUUCCAAUGUGUGCGAAUCUGCAAAAAAUGCGAAAAAGCCCUUUAACCGUACAUUUUACAGAUACGCGCGCAUUGACUUUUUCGUAGAUCUUAUUGAGAUGCACGUGAUUGUCAAAUUUUGUGUCAAUAUGACAAAGCGUACAGGCGUGACAUUCAACAAUGUGUAUUUUCGCCUUGGGGGACAAGAAAAAAUGGACUUUUUUCUCCUGCCAUGGGGGGGCGCUCUUUUGGGGAGUAAAAAUUCCUUCACAAAUAUGUUGAUUGCUGGACAUUGCAUCAUCCUAGAGAACUUGGAGGCCAGUGAGGACAAAAAUAAAAAGUUAUAAGACUUUUAAGACUGUGGAUUUUUUGGUUAUCUUUGGCGCCCCCUAGAACCUAAACCGUGGGGUGCAGCGUCAUGAUUUGUACAACUUUGAAUGGCCAUGGGUUGUAGAUUGGCCUGAGCAACUAUGGUGUCAGUGGGACGAAAGCCUUCGGAGGAGUUAGCGAAAUUCCAAUGUGUGCGAAUCGGCAAAAAAUGCAAAAAAAACCUUUUACCGUACAUUAUACAGAUACGCGCUCUUUGACUUUUUCGUAGAUGUAAUUGAGAUACACAUGAUUGUCAAUUUUUGUGUCAAUAUGACAAAGAGUUCAGGCGUGACACUCAACAAUGUGUAUUUUCCCCUUAGGGGACAAGAAAAAAUUGACUUUUUUCUCCUGCCAUGGGGGGGCGCUCUUUUGGGGAGUAAAAAUUCCUUCACAAAUGUGUUGAUGGCUGGACAUUGCAUCAUCCUAGUGAACUUGGAGGCCAGUGAGGACAAAAAUAAAAAGUUAUAAGACUUUUAAAUAUUUGGAUUUUAGGGUUAUCUUUGGCGCCCCCUAGAACCUAAACCGUGGGGUGCAGCGUCAUGAUUUUUACAACUUUUAAUGGCCAUGGGGUGUAGAUUGGCCUGAGCAAAUUUGGUGCCGGUGGAACGAAAGCCUUCGGAGGAGUUAGCGAAAUUCCUAUGUGUGCGAAUCGGCAAAAAAUGCGAAAUAAACCUUUAACCGUACAUUAUACAGAUACGCGCUCUUUGACUUUUUCGUAGAUCUUAUUGAGAUACACGUGUGUGUCAAUUUUUGUGUCAAUAUGACAAAGCGUUUAGGCGUGACACUCAACAAUGUGUAUUUUCAUGUUAGGGGACAAGAAAAACUUGACUUUUUUCUCCUGCCAUGGGGGGGCGCUCUUUUGGGGAGUAAAAAUUCCUUCACACAUGUGUUGAUGGAUGGACAUAGCAUCAUCCUAGAAAACUUGGAGGCCAGUGAGGACAAAAAUAAAAAGUUAUAAGACUUUUAAGAAUGUGGAUUUUUGGGUUAUCUUUGGCGCCCCCUAGAACAUAAACCGUGGGGUGCAGCGUCAUGAUUUGUACAACUUUUAAUGGCCAUGGGGUGUAGAUUGGCCUGAGCAAAUUUGGUGCCGGUGGAACGAAAGCCUUCGGAGGAGUUAGCGAAAUUCCAAUGUGUGCGGAUCGGCAAAAAAUGCGAAAUAGCCCUUUAACCGUACAUUUGACAGAUACGCCCGCACUGACUUUUUUGUAGAUCUUAUUGAGAUACACAUGUGUGUCAAAUUUUGUGUCAUUUUGACAAAGCGUACAGGCAUCAGGUGAGUUUUCACCAUAGGGGGCGCUAUGGAGCCAUUUUUCAUUUUUUUGUUUGGGCGACUUCAGAAUAUCAAAUUUUUCACCAGGCCCGGUCGUCCUGCCAAAUUUCCUGAGUUUUCGCCAGUGGGAAGUGGGCCAUUUUCCA